CCUACGGGGCGCUGCAGUGGGGAAUAUUGGACAAUGGGCGAAAGCCUGAUCCAGCCAUGCCGCGUGUGUGAAGAAGGCCUUCGGGUUGUAAAGCACUUUCAGUGGGGAAGAAAGCCUUGGGGCUAAUACCCUCGAGGAAGGACAUCACCCACAGAAGAAGCACCGGCUAACUCCGUGCCAGCAGCCGCGGUAAUACGGAGGGUGCAAGCGUUAAUCGGAAUUACUGGGCGUAAAGCGCGCGUAGGCGGUCUGAUAAGCCGGUUGUGAAAGCCCCGGGCUCAACCUGGGAACGGCAUCCGGAACUGUCAGGCUAGAGUGCAGGAGAGGAAGGUAGAAUUCCCGGUGUAGCGGUGAAAUGCGUAGAGAUCGGGAGGAAUACCAGUGGCGAAGGCGGCCUUCUGGACUGACACUGACGCUGAGGUGCGAAAGCGUGGGUAGCAAACAGGAUUAGAUACCCGGGUAGUC
rnacentral:rRNA from 1 species